rnacentral:pre_miRNA from 7 species
CCCCAUAAUUUAUGGCGGUACACUUACCUGCAGACAGAUUGUGAAAGAACCUAGUGGGGAAACCCCCACUCAAUUCUCGAUUCAGCGCGCACCCAAGAAUCACGAACAGACCA